GAUGGGGUGCCCACGCCCGUGUGAAGCUCCUUCGACGAGUCGAGUUGUUUGGGAAUGCAGCUUUAAAUGGGUGGUAAAUUUCAUCUAAAGCUAAAUACUGGCCGGAGACCGAUAGCGCACAAGUAGAGUGAUCGAAAGAUGAAAAGCACUUUGAAAAGAGAGUUAAACAGCACGUGAAAUUGUUGAAAGGGAAGCGCUUGCGACCAGACUCGCCCACGGGGUUCAGCCGGCAUUCGUGCCGGUGUACUUCCCCGCGGGCGGGCCAGCGUCGGUUUGGGCGGCCGGUCAAAGGCCCUUGGAAUGUACCGCCCCCCGGGGCGGCUUAUAGCCAAGGGUGCCAUGCGGCCAGCCCGGACCGAGGAACGCGCUUCGGCUCGGACGCUGGCAUAAUGGUCGUAAGCGACCCGUCUUGAAACACGGACCAAGGAGUCUAACAUCUACGCGAGUGUUCGGGUGUCAAACCCGUGCGCGCAGUGAAAGCGAACGGAGGUGGGAACCCCUCGGGGCGCACCAUCGACCGAUCCUGAUGUCUUCGGAUGGAUUUGAGUAAGAGCGUAGCUGUUGGGACCCGAAAGAUGGUGAACUAUGCCUGAAUAGGGCGAAGCCAGAGGAAACUCUGGUGGAGGCUCGCAGCGGUUCUGACGUGCAAAUCGAUCGUCAAAUUUGGGUAUAGGG
rnacentral:rRNA from 1 species